UAACGUAUGAAAAAAAAAAAAAAAAAAACGCGACGAGGAUUAUUGAGCAAUCAAUAAUUAUUAUUUCCAAGUUAUAACUGACUUAGCAAAGUCAUGUUAUUUAUUAAUCGAGAAACAGAAGCAGUUAUAUUUUAUUAGUGCUACUAGAAGUCGAGAAAUUAUUCCGACUGCAACGCAAAUUCAAUCUACGGAUUUAAUCUAGAUUCAUAUUACUGUAUUAGCAUCACCAAGGCAUGAGGAUAUAAUUCAUUUAUUCAUCAAUCUCAUUCUCAUACUUUACAAACUCUUAUAACCAAUUACAGUUUCACCUAUCAAUGCUAUGAAGUAGAUACAUGAAUAUGCUAGACAUAUAUGUAAGCAUACAAUCAUCAUUAUUUUUUUCCACUCCCUAAUGUCUCCUACACUAUACACGCAUAAUCUCCACUUCUCCACUCCACCAACUAUCUCCACCACCUUUUGCUUUCUUCCACUACAUUUUUUCUCACCACCCUUUCCACUCCACUAAUUCCACUACACCAAACUUUCCACCUACUCCCUUCCCCACCACACGCAAGAAUGCAUCUAACAUUCCAUUAUACAGGCAACAAUCUUUUCAUCAUCUUCAUUCUUCACUAAGGAACCGAAGAGCAGCCACGAGUUCUGCCAUAAGCACACUGCUCCGGCAGUGUUUUGCAAGGCGAUUCCAGCCAUCCAAAAGGUCCGGGCGACAGAAAGUGAAGCCGAAGAAGAAACGACUCCACGCCAGCUUUAAGAACAAUUGAGGCAACAAUCUUUUCAUCAUCUUCAUUCUUCACUAAGGAACCGAAGAGCAGCCACGAGUUCUGCCAUAAGCACACUGCUCCGGCAGUGUUUUGCAAGGCGAUUCCAGCCAUCCAAAAGGUCCGGGCGACAGAAAGUGAAGCCGAAGAAGAAACGACUCCACGCCAGCUUUAAGAACAAUUGAGGUUGAGUUGUGAUGGGCGAUGAAGUGUUGCUGAGUGGAGUUUUUGUCGAACUUAAAGUAGGCUCAGAAAGGAUACAUGUCUUCAUACAUGUAUCUCAAUUAUGCAUUCCGCUGUAAACACUGAUUAUUUCAGUUACGCCUUCCGUUGCAAACUCUGAUAAUGUUUUAGCCAAGCCCUAACGAUGCCUUUUUCCUUUUUAAGGAAUAUUUCACGCGUA